GCAACACAUAUGUGCAGGCUUCCUUCACGCGUUGUCUCUAUGUUGUGGGCUGAGAAGAUAGCAUCUUGAAUGAUCUGGGAUAAUAAAAUUCGGGGACCAGCAGAUUGCUGAAUUGUGCCAAGCACUGAACUGCAUCUUUAAAGGGAAGAUGAAGAUUGAAGCGUUGGUGUUAUCUAUCAACCAUAAUACCUGUAUUAUUUAUGCAGCUUGGUUAUUCACAUUUCGGUCAUUGUGGGAAAUGAUCAUGCUGGGCAUCUAUCUAUAUCUGGCCUAUGAAAGUAAAUUUUUUCUUGAGCUGAGUGUGAUGUACAGAAUAUGUUGUGCAAUAUUAUUUUUGGCUGGAAUGCCUACAGUA